rnacentral:rRNA from 1 species
GACGAACGCUGGCGGCGUGCUUAACACAUGCAAGUCGAACGGAAAGGCCCCUUUGGGGGUACUCGAGUGGCGAACGGGUGGGUAACACGUGAGUAACCUGCCCUUGACUUCGGGAUAACUUCAGGAAACUGGGGCUAAUACCGGAUAGGAAUCCUUGCUGCAUGGUGGGUGUUGGAAAGCUUCGGCGGUUUUGGAUGGACUCGCGGCUUAUCAGCUUGUUGGUGGGGUAGUGGCUUACCAAGGCUUUGACGGGUAGCCGGCCUGAGAGGGCGACCGGCCACAUUGGGACUGAGAGACGGCCCAGACGCCUACGGGAGGCAGCAGUGGGGAAUAUUGCACAAUGGGCGGAAGCCUGAUGCAGCAACGCCGCGUGCGGGAUGACGGGCUUCGGGUUGUAAACCGCUUUCAGCAGGGGCGAAGCUUGUGGUGACGGUACCUGCAGAAGAAGCACCGGCUAACUACGUG